rnacentral:rRNA from 1 species
GACGAACGCUGGCGGCGUGCUUAACACAUGCAAGUCGAACGAUGAACCCGGAGCUUGCUCCGGCGGAUUAGUGGCGAACGGGUGAGUAACACGUGAGUAACCUGCCCUUGACUCUGGGAUAACUGCUAGAAAUGGUAGCUAAUACCGGAUACGACCCUCGGUGGCAUCACCAGGGGGUGGAAAGAAUUUCGGUCAAGGAUGGACUCGCGGCCUAUCAGCUAGUUGGUGAGGUAACGGCUCACCAAGGCGACGACGGGUAGCCGGCCUGAGAGGGUGACCGGCCACACUGGGACUGAGACACGGCCCAGACUCCUACGGGAGGCAGCAGUGGGGAAUCUUGCGCAAUGGGCGAAAGCCUGACGCAGCAACGCCGCGUGCGGGAUGAAGGCCUUCGGGUUGUAAACCGCUUUCAGGAGGGACGAAGCCACUCGGGUUAACAGCCCAGAGGGUGACGGUACCUCCAGAAGAAGCACCGGCUAAC